GUACACUCCUGCGGGAGGCAGCAGUGAGGAAUAUUGGACAAUGGGUGGAAGCCUGAUCCAGCCAUCCCGCGUGCAGGAAGACGGCCCUAUGGGUUGUAAACUGCUUUUAUCUGGGGAUAAACCUACUUACGUGUAAGUAGCUGAAGGUACCAGAAGAAUAAGCACCGGCUAACUCCGUGCCAGCAGCCGCGGUAAUAUGGAGGGUGCAAGCGUUAUCCGGAUUUAUUGGGUUUAAAGGGUCCGUAGGCGGACUGAUAAGUCAGUGGUGAGAUCCGACAGCUUAACUGUCGAACUGCCAUUGAUACUGUUAGUCUUGAGUAAGGUUGAAGUGGCUGGAAUAAGUAGUGUAGCGGUGAAAUGCAUAGAUAUUACUUAGAACACCAAUUGCGAAGGCAGGUCACUAAGUCUUAACUGACGCUGAUGGACGAAAGCGUGGGGAGCGAACAGGAUUAGAAACCCCUGUAGUCCCAUGAU
rnacentral:rRNA from 1 species